CGGGCGGCCCUCUGCAGCGCUCCGUGCACUGAUUCCCCCGCCCUCCGUCUCUCCCCCGCUGGCUCGGUCGGGCCCCCUGGCUCCGUCUGUUCCUCUCUGGCUCUCGGGCGUUCCCUUGGAAGGCCUCUCGGGCCCUCGGAUUGAGACCACCAAGCCCAGAGGAUCCUGAGUCUCAAUGGAAACCUGGUCGUUCAGUAUCAGCAAUUAGUGGGCAACCCCUUUGUGCCUAGCCCAGUGCGCCACGCGGAGCAGUGCAGACACGGGCCCUGCCGCCGGGAGUAACAAGUCUAGCCAGGCGUCGGCAAUUCCCGUGUCAUCGCAGAAUCGGUUUUUGCUGCCCCAGAACCCACCAUGUUCCUGUCCCAGAGCUCAGAAUCCACAUGUACUGGGCCCAGAAUCUACCUCUACUACCAUGUCUUACAAUCCAUUUCCUCUCUGUCACCUCUCCCUUUUCUCAACUCCCAAGAAG